AAAACGCAGUCCAAGAUUGUGCCCUGCAACCUGGCGUUCUGGAUAUCGCUUCGCUACUUGUCUCCAUGUGAGCACCGUGCCGGAAGUCUCCUCUCAUGAAACGAAACCUAUCCCGUUCUGUUUCCUAUCGAGAGUCGUCAUCGACGGAACGCUUGGCUUGGCCUGGAUGGACACGAACAUGCGUAACGUGAUUUCCACACGUGGGUGAUUUCGCACGAGGAGCAAAAUCGAUCAUACAGGCACAUAGUGAAAAUAUUGGCCUCGCUUUGGCGGAGUCCGGAAUCACCACCAACAGUCUGCCUUUGUUCAAUACCUGCUCCUGCGGACUCUGAAAAGAUCCAGGCCGUAUUCCGCCGCCUGAGCGCCAUCUACCGCUAGGGUACCUGAUACCGCUGCUGAGUGCUGAUCGUCGACCUGCAGGUGCAACAUAGCUGUGAUAGUGUCCCGAUUUGGUGUUCAACUUUGUCAAGCAGAUUAGCAAGGACUUUCCGGAAAAGUUUUCCGAUGUGGUGCGUAGCGACGCGUUACGCGUGCUCCUGGGGCACGAACUGUACGUGUCCUAUAUCAACCCUCACUUGCAAAACUGCGUGCUCCACGUAGAGCUCAAGAUCGUUUAGGUUUAAAAAAAACCGUAUUGCUAGAAUCACCUUCUGUCAGACUUUGUUAUGGUCGAGAAAAGCAUAAGCUCCAGUAAUCUUUUUUUCUUUAAAUGUGUUCAAACGAUUCUUUAAUAUUAAUCUUUUGUGAAUUCCGUUUGAUCAUUUAAAUCAUAUCUCGUUUAAAUACUAAUUCAAUGCUCCGUUGAAUCUGUUUUCUGUUGUAAUUUUCAAACACUUUCUUUGCUGAGCAGAUCUGUUUUUGAGAUUUUAAAUAUU